UACGUAGGGUGCGAGCGUUGUCCGGAAUUACUGGGCGUAAAGAGCUCGUAGGCGGCCUGUCGCGUCCGCUGUGAAAUCCCGGGGCUUAACCCCGGGCCUGCAGUGGAUACGGGCAGGCUGGAGGCAGGCAGGGGAGAACGGAAUUCCCGGUGUAGGCGGUGAAAUGCGCAGAUAUCGGGAGGAACACCGGUGGCGAAGGCG
rnacentral:rRNA from 1 species